UCCUACGGGAGGCAGCAGUGGGGAAUAUUAGACAAUGGGGGCAACCCUGAUCCAGCCAUGCCGCGAGUGUGAAGAAGGCCUUUGGGUGUAAAGAGGUUUAAGCAGGGGAGAAGAACUAAUGGUAAUAGAGGAAAAAUGACGUUAC
rnacentral:rRNA from 1 species